UGCUGCAGAGACUGGACAUCAUGCAAAGAAACCCUGGUUUUCAUGUGACAACUUGCAAACGCUAUUGAUCUCUGGAGAUGUGAUCAAUCAUCAAUGCAGCAUUAGUGCGUUGGGAUCAUUUUCUGUUCAAGAUAAUUAACGGCCAGAACUUUUUAUGUGGCCCUGUAGACCCGAGAGAGGCAUAAACAGAGCUGCCAAGAAAACAGUACAAAUGUUGGGCCUCCAGCCAAUCACAGCUUUAUGAACCUAUUAACAGUUAAAGCAGGAACAGGAAGCAUUUUGUUGCAUGAAUGUGACAUCAUGUUAACAAAGACGAGCCACUCACAAAAUCACACUGUUGGCUGAAUUUUUGAAUAAUCAAAACGUUUAACUUCAGAACAUCCGAGAACAAACAGCAUCAUAAAAACGUGAGAACAGCAGACACAGCAGGGAGGAAGACGUUGAGCAAGGAGAGAGAAAAGAAGUGAUAAGCAGCCAACAGGUUAAAUGUCAACUCGGUCAUAAUUUGUUGUGAAGUUGGACCCAAAGCCUGACAACCUGAUGUUGUAGGUGAUGAUGAUUUACUGAACUGGAAGCUGUUAGGCAGAUGGAGACAUGAGAGGAAUGUUAAACAUGGGCUGUGACGAAUACUCAACAGUGAUGCAACACAAAACAAUCAAGCUAUACCAAAGAUAAAGGCUAAAGGCCAACACAUAACCUCCAUGAAAGCAUAGAAAUUUGUUCUUUUACUAGAGAUGUCAUGUUGAAUAAAGUUUGUUCUGGACAAGA